rnacentral:snoRNA from 1 species
AUGCCAUGGUGAGAAGAUCUUCUGAGUAACUCCUUAAAUCUCUCCCAAGCAUCGUACAAGCUUUCACAUUCAAGUUGAUGAAAAGAAGUGAUUUCAUUCCACAAUUU